rnacentral:rRNA from 1 species
GACGAACGCUGGCGGCGUGCUUAACACAUGCAAGUCGAACGGAAAGGCCCUGCUUUUGUGGGGUGCUCGAGUGGCGAACGGGUGAGUAACACGUGAGUAACCUGCCCUUGACUUUGGGAUAACUUCAGGAAACUGGGGCUAAUACCGGAUAGGAGCUCCUGCUGCAUGGUGGGGGUUGGAAAGUUUCGGCGGUUGGGGAUGGACUCGCGGCUUAUCAGCUUGUUGGUGGGGUAGUGGCUUACCAAGGCUUUGACGGGUAGCCGGCCUAAGAGGGUGACCGGCCACAUUGGGACUGAGAUACGGCCCAGACUCCUACGGGAGGCAGCAGUGGGGAAUAUUGCACAAUGGGCGGAAGCCUGAUGCAGCAACGCCGCGUGCGGGAUGACGGCCUUAGGGUUGUAAACCGCUUUCGCCUGUGACGAAGCGUGAGUGACGGUAAUGGGUAAAGAAGCACCGGCUAACUACGUG